UGACUUGGGUAGUGUGGAGCUAGCCCCAGCUGGGUACUGUGCUCUUUUUCUCAGGCUUGUUGGAGUCCUACACGGCUUCCCACAUGCACAGUGUCCUGUUAUGGUGACCUGUCACACUCUUUCUGUUGCUCACUUCUCUGUCCUGGCACUAGCAAUUCAGACCCUAAUUUCCUGGGCACCACCAGUUUAGAGACUUGCAGCACUGGUAUUUCUGGGUUGCAUUCCCCCCCAAAGGCUUUCUUGUUCCUGUUGGACUGUGGUCAAGCUGGCUGUUGAGCCUCAAGGAAACUUCUGCUGCCAGACACUGGAAGAGGAAAGAGGGGAAUGGGGUACACAGGAAAAUCUUCUCCCCAAGGAAGGAAGGCAUAAAUGAGCUCUGCCCAUGUUAAAGCCGGUGUGAAUCUUGCCCAGACUUUGAAAUGCCAGAGUUGAACUCCAGGACAUCACUGAGCAGCAAGCUGAAUGAAAGUGUUGAAUCACUUAAUGAAAAACACACAAACAGUAAGACUAGCAUUCUGACUCAAGAGAAGAAAGAAAAGACGACUUCGUUUGACAUGUGGUAUUACAUUCCGGUGCACCGCCACACGACUGGGUUCAUCACCACCAGCUGCGGGGGUAGCCAAUAUAUUGCCUGGUUGUGUGGCUGAUGGCAGGCGGACACUGAAGACAGACAAUUUUUGGCCCCAGAAUUUUAAGAAGUAGCUAUCUCAUGCUUAAUUUUCUUAGAGUAGUUCACAUCUCUGAAAUCGAUUUAUGUGAGAUUUAGCAUAUCCAACAAGGGAGGUAGAAUAACUUGCCCUAAGGUGCUGGGCCCUGUAAAGACAAACAAAAGAACAUCUGUGAAGGUGUAUGGAAAGAUGGGUAUUUGUACAAACAGGGAAGUAAAUAAGAAAAGGCUAAAAUCCUAGAAAAUGGGAACUUCCAGGAAAAGCGCUAGAAUAAUUCAGGCUGGAGUAAAAUUGGCUAUGGAAUUUUAAUAAUAGCUAACAUUUCUAUAGCACUUUAAGGUUUUCAAAGUGCUUUACAAAUAUCUCGUUUUAUGCUCAC